rnacentral:rRNA from 1 species
GACGAACGCUGGCGGCGUGCCUAAUACAUGCAAGUCGAACGAAGCUGUUUUAACUGGUGCUUGCACCGACUUAAACAACUGAGUGGCGAACGGGUGAGUAACACGUGGGUAACCUGCCCCAAAGCGGGGGAUAACAUUUGGAAACAGAUGCUAAUACCGCAUAACCACAGAAACCACAUGGUUUCUGUGUCAAAGAUGGUUUCGGCUACCGCUUUGGGAUGGACCCGCGGCGUAUUAGCUAGUUGGUAAGGUAAUGGCUUACCAAGGCAAUGAUACGUAGCCGAACUGGGAGGUUGAUCGGCCACAUUGGGACUGAGACACGGCCCAAACUCCUACGGGAGGCAGCAGUAGGGAAUCUUCCACAAUGGACGAAAGUCUGAUGGAGCAACGCCGCGUGAGUGAAGAAGGUUUUCGGAUCGUAAAACUCUGUUGUCAGAGAAGAACGUGUGCGAGAGUAACUGCUCGUGCAGUGACGGUAUCUGGCCAGAAAGCCACGGCUAACUACGUGCCAGCCGCCGCAGUAA